rnacentral:rRNA from 1 species
UGGGGAAUAUUGCACAAUGGGCGGAAGCCUGAUGCAGCAACGCCGCGUGCGGGAUGACGGCCUUCGGGUUGUAAACCGCUUUCGCCUGUGACGAAGCGUGAGUGACGGUAAUGGGUAAAGAAGCACCGGCUAACUACGUGCCAGCAGCCGCGGUAAUAAUCACUAGUGAAUUCGCGG